UCGGAGGUAUUCGCCGCGGAAGUACAUCACUCGGGAUUAUUGCGUCAGGUGAAUCCGUUGCGGGCCGCGCGACGUAACCUCGACGAAUGUUCGCGUGUGAACGCGUGGACAGUUCACUUCUAUAACGAGUGUUGCGGUUCUGGUCAAUGGGAUACGAUUAAACUGUCGUCGAUAGCGAAGUUACAGGUUGUCAUCGGCGAAAGUAUCGGCCUGGUGUCGUUCGUGAUUCUGCGACGAGCCCAGCAGUUUGUGUGAAAUUUUGGUGUGACGGCAAUUUUCGAAAAACCAAUGCCGCGCCGUUCCUGGCGUUUUCGAAAGUUUCUGGCGGCAUUCAACGAGUGAGGCAGGGUUUAUACGUACAUGCAACUCUCCGUGAGCUUGGCUGCCAGUCCGAAAAGCCACGAAGAAUACAUUUAACUGUUUGCUCAGCAAGUUCUCUUCACAUGCUUCCUCAUCUCGACCAAGAAAAACGCUGUUCGCUCGAGUCACGUUAUUAUUCUCACAAACGUGUUCGAUUCUCGUCGUAGAAGCGCUUCUACAAGAACCAACGUGGAACGACUGCAAAAUACGUGGAUGUUGACCAGAACCAACGCGUUUUCCAUCCUCCCAACAUCGAACACAUCUUCGUCUCUUUCUCCCUCACCCUCGUUUCCUGCUACCCUCCACGAUUCGCUCUUUUGAAUUUUUAUUUCCAGCGUAAUACCAGGCAAUCGAAUCCAACCUGACGCACACGCGGAAUCUGGUUCUACGUGAUUAACGUUUAAUUAUAAUUACGGGUCAUUGAUGCCGAUAAACUGGCGUAUGGUGUCCCAUUACCAUCGACGGUGAUUACACGCGAGACACGGUGUCGCAUUCGCGCUGAAUAUCCUCCUGAGAUUAAAAAAAAAAAAAAAAAAUGAGUCUCUGAUCCAAGGUAAAACGUCAUUCCGGCGAACGAGAAAAUUUCGAUUAAGCCACUGCCGAUUGCACGUACGCGUUAAAAAAAAUUUUCUCUUCUUUUUUAUUUUCAUUCGCGUUCCUCUGUCCUCUCAUUAUACGCCGUCUCUCUUUCUUUCUUCUUUUUUUUCGUCGUCGCGGUAGUUUUAAAAUGGCCAUUUAAAGAAUUUAGCGUAUAUUGCGCGUAUGAAUUUUACGCCCGGUGAAAGUGAUUUAAAUUCGAUACGUUCCCGCGGCUGUGGCACAUUACAAUGAAAAUUUAUUCAACGAUCGAAUUUAAUUAUUCUCACGGAAACUGGCCGAAAUUUGUUCGCGUUUUUCAGGGUAUUUAGCCAUUGGAUAUAUAGGGGGAAAAAGACACGUGCACGGGGUAAGCGUGUCAUAGAGUGCAGCUGUUUCUUCUGUUCGCCGAAAUCCGCUGCCGAAUGUCUUUGAGGAUAAAUAAAAUUGUAUUUACACACACCUGUGUUUUAUGAGAAGAUCGUCUUGGUCAUUUAUAUGUACAAUAUUCUAUAUUAAUCGUGAAUUUUCUGGGACAUGCGAUCUUUACAGGAUACAUACGCACCGCUUUAUUAUCAUUUAUUUUAAAUUAAAAAUCUACCUAUUUGACUAUUAUGGAUGUUCUUAUACGAUUAACCCAGAUGUCAAUUAUAACAUUUAGAAACUAAUAUUUCUUACAAUCUUGUAGGACUAACGAGGGAAUUUUUAUGGACAGCUUUGAUAAUUUUAUAAAAUUUGAAGCAAAGUUAAGGAAUUUUUACUUCUCUUUGCUAACAGGCUUAUGCGUUUGUCAUAAAUUUUAAGCAUA